rnacentral:rRNA from 1 species
CAACUUUCUUUUCUUUCUCUUGGUUCUCCCAUCGAUGAAGAACGCAGCGAAAUGCGAUAAGUAAUGUGAAUUGCAGAAUUCAGUGAAUCAUCGAAUCUUUGAACGCACCUUGCGCUCCUUGGUAUUCCGAGGAGCAUGCCUGUUUGAGUGUCAU